rnacentral:lncRNA from 1 species
AUUAUUAUGAUAUAUUUUAAAAGACCACUUAUAAUAGGUGAAAGUGAUGCCAAAAUUGAAAAUAUGUUCAAAACAUAUUAUGAAAAAAUUAGAAAAACAUGUCAUAAUAGUCCUUUACUGUGAGGGCUAAUUCAUUGCAGUCAUGAUAAGUUGGACGCGGUGACAUUUUCAUGAUAAAGUUCAAAAUAUAUUAUGAUAAGUAGUAAACCACUUGUCAUAAUAAAGUUCAAUACAUUUUCACGCAUCCUCUCUUCACGAAUUCUCUUUCUCAGUUCAUCUUCGUUCCUCUUUUUCACGAUAAUAUCCUCUAUUCUUCACUUCACUUGUUGGUCUCCCCACGUUGCGUCGACAUUGUGGCCUCCCGCUGUCAUCUCCAUGUCGUUGUCUCUAAGAUGCCUUAUUCGACCUGCGUGCAAUCAUGUUUUCUUUCUU